GAGUUUGAUCCUGGCUCAGAUUGAACGCUGGCGGCAUGCCUUACACAUGCAAGUCGAACGGCAGCACGGGAGCUUGCUCCUGGUGGCGAGUGGCGAACGGGUGAGUAAUGCAUCGGAACGUAUCCUGGAGUGGGGGAUAACGUAGCGAAAGUUACGCUAAUACCGCAUAUUCUGUGAGCAGGAAAGCGGGGGACCUUCGGGCCUCGCGCUCUUGGAGCGGCCGAUGUCGGAUUAGCUAGUUGGUGAGGUAAGGGCUCACCAAGGCGACGAUCCGUAGCAGGUCUGAGAGGAUGAUCUGCCACACUGGAACUGAGACACGGUCCAGACUCCUACGGGAGGCAGCAGUGGGGAAUUUUGGACAAUGGGGGCAACCCUGAUCCAGCCAUGCCGCGUGAGUGAAGAAGGCCUCGGUU
rnacentral:rRNA from 1 species